GCUUUGCUGGAAAUGUAGACAAAUAUAUUCAUCUAUGGCUCUUGAUUGGCAGGUAAUAGAGUGUGGGCUAUUCGUGAGCAGAGUGUACAGGCAGGAUUCCCCACGGACAUCUACAGCUACUUUGGCUUCCCUAGCAGCGUGACACACAUUGAUGCUGCUGUCUGUGAGGAAGAGACUGGAAAAACAUACUUCUUUGUUGAUGACAAGUACUGGAGGUACGAUGAAAAUAAUAAGACCAUGGAUUCAGGUUAUCCCAAAUUAAUAGCAGACGACUUCCCUAGAGUUGGCAAUAAAGUUGAUGCUGUUUUCCAGAAAAACGGAUAUUUUUAUUUCUUUCACCAGUCAACUCAAUACAGAUUUAACCUCCAAACGAGAAUGGUUGAUGCUGUCCGUGAUUCUAACUCCUGGUUCAACUGCUAAGAACAUGGCAACCUGUCCUGUCACCAAGUUAAUGAAAAUAUAUACCGCAUAAUUUUAAAGGAGAUAGUUUUCUGAAGAGCCAAGUAUUUUUAUAUUUUAUUUACCUUCUAGCAUUGUUGAUACACAGAGCUACUAAGUAAAAAUUUAUUUAUAUUUCA